rnacentral:rRNA from 1 species
GCAAUCAACUUUUACUUGACUUACACAUGCAAGUAUCCGCACCCCCGUGAAAACGCCCUUACAUCCCCUAUAGGGAUAAGGAGCUGGUAUCAGGCACAAAAUUUAGCCCAAAACACCUAGCUUAGCCACACCCCCACGGGAAUUCAGCAGUGAUCAACAUUGAACAUCAGCGUCAGCUGGAUUCAGUUAAAGUUUAUAGAGCCGGCUAAUCUGGUGCCAGCCGCCGCGGUUACCCCAUGUGGCUCAAGUUGAUUUCCUCCGGCGUAAAGCGUGAUUUAAGAGACUUAUUUUGAUAUCAAAUUUUUACUAAGCCGUGACACGCUUGUACAAAAGAAGACCUAAAACGAAAG